rnacentral:lncRNA from 1 species
AGCUGAAAGGUUUCUAAUAGCAGCCACAGCACACCUGAUGGAACUAAGAGGCACACAGUAUGUGCUUGCUUUCCGGAGGGAGUGCUGGUUUUUAUCUUUAACAGCACACACAUUCUAGGAGAGUGGUGUGACAUGAGACUUGGUGUGACUAUGAGACUUGGUGUGACUAUGAGACUUGGUGUGAUAUGAGACUUGGUGUGACUAUGAGACUUGGUGUGACUAUGAGACUUGGUGUGAUUAUGAGACUUGGUGUGACUAUGAGACUUGGUAAGGAUGUGGGAGCUGCUCAUUAGCUUUGGUGUGGG